AACGUAGGACGCGAGCGUUAUCCGGAGUUACUGGGCGUAAAGCGCGGGCAGGCGGUCUGACAAGUCUGAUGUGAAAUCUCCGGGCUUAACCGGGAGAGGCCAUUGGAAACUGACAGGCUGGAGGGCAGUAGAGGUAGGCGGAAUUCCGGGUGGAGUGGUGAAAUGCGUAGAGAUCCGGAGGAACACCAGAGGCGAAGGCGGCCUACUGGGCUGCACCUGGCGCUGAGCCGCGAAAGCCAGGGGAGCGAACGGG
rnacentral:rRNA from 1 species